rnacentral:rRNA from 1 species
AUUGAACGCUGGCGGCAUGCUUUACACAUGCAAGUCGAACGGCAGCGCGGGGCAACCUGGCGGCGAGUGGCGAACGGGUGAGUAAUAUAUCGGAACGUACCCAGAAGUGGGGGAUAACGUAGCGAAAGUUACGCUAAUACCGCAUACGAUCUACGGAUGAAAGGAGGGGACCGCAAGGCCUUAUGCUUUUGGAGCGGCCGAUAUCUGAUUAGCUAGUUGGUGAGGUAAAGGCUCACCAAGGCGACGAUCAGUAGCUGGUCUGAGAGGACGACCAGCCACACUGGAACUGAGACACGGUCCAGACUCCUACGGGAGGCAGCAGUGGGGAAUUUUGGACAAUGGGCGCAAGCCUGAUCCAGCAAUGCCGCGUGAGUGAAGAAGGCCUUCGGGUUGUAAAGCUCUUUUGUCAGGGAAGAAACGGUAGAGGCUAAUAUCCUUUGCUAAUGACGGUACCUGAAGAAUAAGCACCGGCUAACUGCGUG